rnacentral:rRNA from 1 species
UACGUAGGGUGCAAGCGUUAAUCGGAAUUACUGGGCGUAAAGCGUGCGCAGGCGGUUAUGCAAGACAGGUGUGAAAUCCCCGAGCUCAACUUGGGAACUGCACUUGUGACUGCAUAGCUAGAGUACGGCAGAGGGGGAUGGAAUUCCGCGUGUAGCAGUGAAAUGCGUAGAUAUGCGGAGGAACACCAAUGGCGAAGGCAAUCCCCUGGGCCUGUACUGACGCUCAUGCACGAAAGCGUGGGGAGCAAACAGG